CUCAAACGGAAAUGAAAAUAAGCUUAGUGCAGCAAUUAAACAAGGAAGUUAAAAUGGAGACCAAUAGAUCUCAGGACCCAAGAGACUAGAUAACUAAGUCUAGAUCUCAAUGCCUUCCUAGAUCCAAAUUCAGAAUUUAAUUGCAAGAGAAUUUAAAAUCAAACAGCAGAAGAACUAAAUUCAAUUUCCAAUUUCUCAAAAGUGCAGUAAAUCAAACAGAGAGACCUCAGGAUGAGAUUGAAACAGAAUUCCUUCAAUUCUCCAACCCAAGGUUCAAACAAGUGUGCAGGAAAUGAAAAUGAGAAAAUCCGGAGGAAGAGAAUUCAAUUCUCCUUCCCAGGAACUCUCAAAUUCUAAAAGCAACAACCAAAAAUGUAAAGUGAGCUCUCUACUGUGAGUACUAUGAAAAUUCUAAAAGAAAAGCUCUCCGAAAAACUUAAAUUCUAAGCUAUUUAUACACUCUCUUCAAAUGAUCUUCAAGCCUUGAAUUGGGCCCUUGCUCUUGAUGGAAUUGGGUUGACAAAAGCCUCUGUUGAUUGCUCUUGGUAUUGGAAAGAAACCCACUUGUGAACCGGGCCAUGAACCAUUUAAGCUUGAGUCAAUGUUUGAGGCAAACUUUGACUCAAGCUUUUUUUAGCAGCUGGCCCUUUGUGCUGCCAUCCACGUUUGGCUCAAAUUUUGGGGUCAAACUUGAUCUCAAACGUGGCUCCUCCCUUGCAUCUCUUUUGGCCAAUGUUUGGCCCAACGUUGAGGCAAACGUUGGCGCAAACGUGGCUCAAUUAAACCUUCAAUCAGGGACUCUUCUUCAUGCUAAAAUGGCACCAACGUUUGACCUCCCGUUUGAGGCAAACGUUGGCGCAAACGUUGGCCUCCCCUGGUGCGUGUGCUAUGCCAGUGAAUGCUAAUGUUCAUUCAUUUAUUCAUUGGCAAUUAAAAAUCAUGCAUGCAUUCAUUAAUUAAUUAAUAAAGCCAAUUGCAUUAACGUUGAAAGGGCUUGAUAUGUUCUUUAGCCAAUUGGCUUUAAUAUUGCAUGCUUUUAUUGGCUUUAUUAAUUAAUGCCAAUGUAUUAACGUAGCAUUCAUUCUUUAAUGAUCAAAUGCUUGAUACAUGCAUUAAUUUUUAUUAGCAAUGCUAAUUAAUGAACUUGAACGUUCAUUCAUGUAAUGCCAUGAUUCAUUGGCUUGAAUGCAUGCAUAAGGCAUAUAUGUCAUGCCAUGGCUUCAUGGUAAUGGACCACGCUUUUUCCUUCCUUAGGCCACACUUCCAUUGUUUCUUUCUUUUCUUCACCUACAAGUAAUCAAAACAACCAAUCAAAGUAUCACAAAAUUCACAAAGCUUAAAAUUCAUUUAAAAACCAAUUAAUUUUAGCUUAUACCUCAUGAUUUUGUGUCAAUUAAAGGGUGGUUGAUUGAUUCAAAGAAGUCAUGCAUUUCCAUUCUAAAUUACUUACUUAGAAUGCAAGAAAGUGCAUAAAACCAAAUAAAAAUAAACAAAAAGGCUAGUAAAAGUAGGCUAUGAUGACUUGUCAUCACAACACCAAACUUAAAACUUGCUUGUCCCCAAGCAAGCAUCAAACAUAAGAGAAGAUAGAAUGAAAUAGAUAAGUAUAUAUGUUCUUAUUAGGCAGAUAGUUGAAUUUGGUCUAUGGGGCUUUAUGCAGAUCUAAAGUAGCUCAUUUAUUACUUACUGUAAAAGAAACAAUGUUCCUUUAAGGGUUCACCAAGGUUGCUGCUAUGACUACUCACUUUUUGUUCAUUUCCCUUGUUAGUUUUUCCUUUAUUUCUUUUGCAUUAAGAGCUUAUUUCUUAUUGAAGGCUUGGUGUCAAAUGUUGCAGUGGCCUUUGGCCUAAUUUUCUCAACAUUUCUUCACCACAGACACAUGGCUCGCCUUUUUCUUCCUAGGAUCAUUGAUGCCCAGCAUCUCUUUGGAUCACUAAAUGUUUUGUAGCUAGGUUGCUCUUUAUUGUGGACUUUCAGUUGGCAAUCCCAAAUCAGUUGAUCUAAGUUGCCAAGUUUUAAAAUACUCCUUAGAACCUACUUGUCCAAGCAUAUCCUAGUACGAAACACCACAGGCAUGUGUCCUAGGGUCCAAGCUAUUGGUGUCUAGCCUUAUUGUUUAUUUCUUUGCCAACUUUUGGCUUUUUCUUCUUCCUUUUCUUUUUGUUUUGGCUUUCAGUGAGAUACCACUCUGGAAGAGCUAGAAUUCUAACCUUGUGCCAGGACCUACGGACCAAGGGACAGUCUCAGGUAGACAGUUUCUAUGGGGCGUAGGCCUCCCAAAAGGUAACGGAGGCGUGCAAAGGUUUCCUCGGGCCAGACGGAGAUUGGCCCUCGAGUGCAAAGGCAGAAGGGAGCUUGACUACAAGACCCACCCGUCGAGCAGGGACGAAAGUCAGCCUUAGUGAUCCGACGGUGCCGAGUGGAAGGGCCGUCGCUCAACAGAUAAAAGUUACUCUAGGGAUAACAGGCUGAUCUUCCCCAAGAGCUCACAUCAACGGGAAGGUUUGGCACCUCGAUGUCGGCUCUUCACCACCUGGGGCUGUAGUAUGUUCCCAGGGUUGGGCUGUUCGCCCAUUAAAGUGGUACGUGAGUUGGGUUCAGAACGUCAUGAGACAGUUCGGUCCAUAUCCGGUGUGGGCAUUAGAGCAUUGAGAUGACCUUUCCCUAGUACGAGAGGACCGGGAAGGACGCACCUCUGGUGUGCCAGUUAUCGUGCCCACGGUAAACGCUGGGUAGCCAAGUACAGAGCGGAUAACUGCUGAAAGCAUCUAAGUAGUAAGCCCACCCCAAGAUGAGUGCUCUCCUAUUCUGACUUCCCCAGAGCCUCCGGUAGCACAGCUAAGACAGCGAUGGGUUCUCUGCCCCUGCGGGAAUGGAGCGAAAGAAGCUUUGAGAAUUCAAGAGAAGGUCACGGCGAGACGAGCCAUUCCUCAUUAACGAUAGGUGUCAAGUGGAAGUGCAGUGAUGUAUGCAGCUGAGGCAUCCUAACAGAUCGGUAGACUUGAAC
rnacentral:rRNA from 1 species